UGACGNUGAGGCGCGAAAGCCAGGGGAGCGAACGGGAUUAGAUACCCCGGUAGUCCUGNCCGUAAACGAUGGGUACUAGGUGUAGGAGGUAUCGACCCCUUCUGUGCCGGAGUUAACGCAAUAAGUACCCCGCCUGGGGAGUACGACCGCAAGGUUGAAACUCAAAGGAAUUGACGGGGGCCCGCACAAGCGGUGGAGUAUGUGGUUUAAUUCGACGCAACGCGAAGAACCUUACCAGGUCUUGACAUUGAUGGACAGAACUAGAGAUAGUUCCUCUUCUUCGGAAGCCAGAAAACAGGUGGUGCACGGUUGUCGUCAGCUCGUGUCGUGAGAUGUUGGGUUAAGUCCCGCAACGAGCGCAACCCCUAUCUUAUGUUGCCAGCACGUAAAGGUGGGAACUCAUGAGAGACUGCCGCAGACAAUGCGGAGGAAGGCGGGGAUGACGUCAAAUCAUCAUGCCCCUUAUGACCUGGGCUACACACGUACUACAAUGGGAGUUGAUAGACGGAAGCGAAAUCGCGAGAUGGAGCAAACCCGAGAAACACUCUCUCAGUUCGGAUCGUAGGCUGCAACUCGCCUACGUGAAGUCGGAAUCGCUAGUAAUCGCAGGUCAGCAUACUGCUGUGAAUACGUUCCCGGGCCUUGUACACACCGCCCGUCACACCACGAAAGUCGGAAGUGCCCAAAGCCGGUGGGGUAACCUUCGGGAGCCAGCCGU
rnacentral:rRNA from 1 species